CCGGGCCACGGCGCCUGCGCCGACUAAAGACGUAGCCUCCCGGCUCGGGCUCCGAGCUUACUGCGCCUGCGCGGGCGCCCGCCGCCUUCGUUCGUUUCUUUUUUUUUCCUUUCCACGUGACUCGGAGCUAGCGGUACACGUGUCUUCCCCCCUCCUCCACGCCCCCCCGACUUCAGGCGGAGUGCGCGGAGAGGGCGGGCGCUGUGGAAUGUCUUUGUCUGCGCGCGGGCCCGCGGAGUGUGGGGCGAGGAACCUGUUAUUCGUGGGCCACGCCUCCUCCAACGGCCGAGCCUCGGAAGGUCCCCAGAGAGAUGUGUGGCCGAGUGGAAUCGGGGGCCGCCCCUCCGGCCAGGAGACGAAAGGAACGCUUCUGGGGACCCGGAGAGGGCAAAAGAGAGGGUUAGAGCCACGUGAGGCCGGAAGAGAGGGAAAGACUGCACGAACCGGAUGGGAAGAUGGGAGCGUGAGGAGGGAGAAGCUGACCCAGGGCUGAGUGACAGGGUUUCUCUGUACAGCUGUCCUGGAUUCCCUUUGUAGACCAGGCUGGUGUCAAACUCACAGAGAUCUGCGUAUUUCUGCCUCCCCAAGUGCUGGGAUUACAGACCUGCACCACCAAGCCCAGAGGAAGUCCAUUCUAAAGGAUGAGAUUCCAAAGUACUUUCGAGCAAUGGUGACACUGUCAGGACAAAGCUGGACACACCCACCCACGGGGACUGCUUCAAGACAGCACUUGUUUUUCCCAUGUCCACAUACAUGCAUCUUCAAUACACAGUCUUUGAACGCUUCCCUAAACAGA